GAAACCAAGCAAUGAAAACUCAUUCUCCACUGCUAGGGAAGAGGGGACCACAUAGCCAGGGCUUCCUUUAUCAUUUCCAGGGUAUCGUGAGGUCAAAAUGGAGGAAGCAGAGGAAUGGUUGGCUGACAACAAUAAUAUCUGACAUUAUUAAAGUCUCUUAAGUGCUCCCAACAACUCUGUGAGGAAUUUUGGCCCCUCAAUAGGAGCAAAGGAAAGAGAAAAGAGAUCCUAGAUGUGUAAAUAAAUGUACCCGUGGCUCCAAAGGGAGAAAAAAACUAUCUUCAAAACAGAUGAGAAGAAAUGGAAGAGACAAAUGCCCCCCAAACAACUUCAGAAGUACAAAGAACCUGAGUGGCCUAUCUAUUGCCUCACCCAGCUGGAAGACUUAGAAGUAAAACCAUGACUAAACGGAAAAGCAACUCAACCAUCACAGACAACUUUGCCUACUGACCUAAGACCAUAAACAAAACACAUGGCCACUAGGAGCCAAAUGGUCUACGUUCACUCUUUCAUGGUACCUCAACUGGGGAGAAAAAAGGUCCCUGAGCAGAUAGCGUUGUGUCCCUCCACUGCACCCCACACCUAUCCCAUGCCCUCCCCCCAUUUUUUAUGUGGAUGAAAUAUCAGCAUCAAGAGAAACUGUGAAGGAGAAUUAAG